UACGUAGGGUGCAAGCGUUGUCCGGAAUUAUUGGGCGUAAAGAGCUCGUAGGCGGUUUGUUGCGUCGGCUGUGAAAUCCCGGAGGCUCCAACCUCGGGUCUGCAGUCGAUACGAGCAAGCUAGAAUUCGGUAGGGGAGACUGGAAUUCCUGGUGUAGCGGUGAAAUGCGCAGAUAUCAGGAGGAACACCGGUGGCGAAGGCGGGUCUCUGGGCCGAAAUUGACGCUGAGGAGCGAAAGCGUGGGGAGCAAACAGG
rnacentral:rRNA from 1 species